rnacentral:misc_RNA from 1 species
AUCAUCCUAAUGAUACUGGAAACAGUUGAACUACUAACAAGAACUCCAUAAAAAAUUGUGGAGAAAUAGAAUUAUCAAUACCCUUCAAUGUAAACAGUUAAGAGAGGAACAUCUUGGUAUAAAGGAUUUAAACUUGUCUUGGCAUAAAUAAUCUCCUCAGUGAAAUUUAAGGUUUAGGCGUGCAUCCACUUAUUGUAAUUUGUAAAUACAAUUUAUAAAUGUCACAGAUAAUGGAAGGUUGAACCAAGAGGUGAAGAGGCAAUAAUGGAAAAAGCAUAUACUAUGGAAAAUAAGAAAUUUCUAAAUUUGUAGUCUUUUUUUUUUUGCAAUAAAUACAAGAAGAGGACAAUCACUACAAAUUCUG